rnacentral:rRNA from 1 species
AGAGUUUGAUCCUGGCUCAGGAUGAACGCUAGCUACAGGCUUAACACAUGCAAGUCGGAGGGGAAACGAUAUUGGAAGCUUGCUUCCGAUAGGCGUCGACCGGCGUACGGGUGAGUAACGCGUAUCCAACCUGCCCACCACUUGGGGAUAACCUUGCGAAAGUAAGACUAAUACCCAAUGACGUCNCUAGAAGACAUCUGAAAGAGAUUAAAGAUUUAUCGGUGAUGGAUGGGGAUGCGUCUGAUUAGCUUGUUGGCGGGGUAACGGCCCACCAAGGCGACGAUCAGUAGGGGUUCUGAGAGGAAGGCCCCCCACAUUGGAACUGAGACACGGUCCAAACUCCUACGGGAGGCAGCA